UAAAUAUAACCAUGAGANCGAUAGUAAACAAGUACCGUGAGGGAAAGUUGAAAAGAACUCUGAAUAGAGAGUUAAAUAGUACGUGAAACUGCUUAGAGGUUAAGCCCGAUGAACCUGAAUAUCCAUUAUAGAAAAUUCAUCAUUAUGAUUUUAAUAUUUAUAAUAUUAUAAUAAUGUUGUGCACUUUUUCUAUAUAGGACAUUGUAAUCUAUUAACAUAAAAAUUAAAUUUAUCAUAAGAUCAAGUAUGCGUAAGUUUAUUCAAAUUAUUUUGCUUGCAAUUUAACAUAGAAUAAAUGCUCUUGAUUUGAUAAAGUGUUGAUAGAUUUAUUACAUAUAGUGCUUAAAUAUUUAUAUUUUAUAGUAGCAUAUUAAUUUUUAAUUUUUAUGUUUACUAUAUGCACUUAUAUGAUUAACAAUGCGAAAGAUUCAGGAUACCUUCGGGACCCGU
rnacentral:rRNA from 1 species